AUGAGCUCCUCGGACGACACCUGCGGCAAGAAGGCGUCGUGGCCGGAGCUGGUUGGGAAGUCCAUCGAGGAGGCCAAGAAGACCAUCAUGAAGGACAGGCCGGACGUGAAGAACAUCGAGGUCUUCCCGGUCGGCACACCGGUGACCGGGGACUUCAGGCCCGACCGUGUCCGCAUCUUCGUCGACACCGUUGCGGAGACCCCCCGCAUUGGCUAA
rnacentral:rRNA from 1 species